AGGAGACGUUAGGGUUUUGAAGGUUAGCUAAAAGAGCUGCAUCUUCUCCGUCUCUCUGAUUACUUUAUUGUUCUUACAUCUGUGUAAACUGUUUUAAAACGACUCGUCGUUGAAUAAUCAGGAAAAGUUGAUGCCAAAGAGACUGUUGACGGGUCUAUAACCUUACAGGAUCAAAGUUUGGAAGUUGUUGAGGAUUAAAGCUUUUGGAGAGAGCCAAUGAUGCCCAGAUGACCUUUGACUUCAGGUGGCAAACUUCAGCCUGCAAUGUGAGUUUUGAGAAUAUGGACUACACUAUCCUCGCAAAGAAUUGCAAGGGACCUUGAUAGCCCGUCAAGAAUUGUUGUGAUGCUUUAAGGCAAUUUGCUUGCCCUUAUGUUGAUGCCUUAAACGACAGAAUAAAUUACUAUGCAGAAGCUAUGUUCAGCUACAUCAACAUCUAUGGAAAAUAUCCUCCUGGAUUGUUUGCCAAUGAGUGCAGAGAAGGUCAACAAGGUCUCAACUGCGAAUCAGUGCAAAAUUCUUGCAGCUAUUCAUUCCUCAUCCCUGAUGCUCUCUGUUGGGCUCAUAGGUAACAUAUACCCGUGGUCUAGACAACAUAUACAUCUUCUUCCAUUGUUAAAAUACGUCUCUCCACAAUGUGUGCUAGAGUUUGUAUUCUUCUUCUUCUUAUUAUAGUUUGCCUCAACGGUAUAAUUUUCAUAAUCUAUUUCUUUUUGCAUCACUAGAUAGAAUACAAUAGAUUAUGACAUUGAGACUGUUGUAACAGGUGCACAAAUUUAGGACACACACAGCGCACAAUAUGUAGGGAAGAAAAAAAAAACAAAAAUAAGAUUUACAUGAUUCGACUAUGAAUCCUCUUUAGAUAAAAAGAUCUUGUAAAUUAUUGAAAAGACCGGUAUGUAAGCAUUGUGUGGAAAGACACCACUGGAUAAAAAGCAGGUGGUGUUGAGCUAUGAUACUGUGAUUCUAGUUGUUCACUUGUCCCCUACUAUAAUUGAAGAG